GGUGGCUCAGUGGUAGAGCACUUGCCUUGCAUGCAAGAGGCCCUGGGUUCAAUUCCUCAGCACCA
rfam:Dipodomys ordii contig_51366, whole genome shotgun sequence.